rnacentral:rRNA from 1 species
UACGAAGGGGGCUAGCGUUGUUCGGAAUUACUGGGCGUAAAGCGUGCGCAGGCGGCUUCUCAAGUCAGGGGUGAAAGCCCAGAAGCUCAACUCUGGAAUUGCCUUUGAGACUGAGUGGCUUGAGUACGAGAGAGGUGAGUGGAAUUCCCAGUGUAGAGGUGAAAUUCGUAGAUAUUGGGAAGAACACCGGUGGCGAAGGCGGCUACACUGGCUCGUUUCUGACGCUCAGGCGCGACAGCGUGGGGAUCAAACAGG